CCGUGGCCCAUGGGGACUGGCCCAUCAAGAUCUCCCUCCUCUGCUCGUGGUGGUCGUCGUCUCUCUCCUCCUCCUCCUUGGGCUGGGUAGGCUUGGGGUCCAAGAUCCAAUCUUGCUCCACGAUCCGAUCCGAUCCGAUCGAUCUCGAGUGAGCAGCGACCAUGGCUCGCCGCCAUCAUCUCCUUCUUCUUCUUCCGCUCUUCCUUGCCUUGGCUGCUGCUGCUGCUGCUUCGGGGCAGGGGCAGGGUCAUGGAGAAGCUUCCGCCGUCUUCGUCGAUGGCGCGUCGCACCGCUACCUCCGAAAUCAGCAAGACGACGACCAGGGCACAUCAAUGUCACUAAAUGAAGUUUCUGCGGCUGUUUCUAUCUUGCUUGGUUUCACACCACAUACCUUCCUACCUGCCCAUUCUUCUUCAAAGUUAAACAAAGUGCUUCUUGCCAACCCAUUUGACAGACCACGUGCUGUUUUCUUGCUGCAAAUCGAUGGGUCCCAUGCCUCAGCUGAUAGCUUCAUAUCUGAAGCCAGCAGCAGUUUCAAGACCAGGAUUGAAGGUGCAAACAGCGCUGCUACAGGGCUUACAGAUAAAGAUGAAUUAAUUGUCAUCCAUUCAGAUGAAUCUCUAGAUGUUGUCUCUGGAUCAGAUUAUCUUGAUAAUGAACUUUCCAACUUGGCAAACUGGCUGGAGGGGUCAUAUCAGAAGUCUAGUGGCAAACUGGUAAUUCCCUUGGAGAGUGGAAACAGUCUUACUUUGCUACUUGAUAAGGAAGCAGACUUGGAAUUUGCAUCCAGCCUGGUUUCCCUUCGUAAAACUAUUGAAAGGGGCAUUCAGGUUCACGAAGAUUUCUCAGGUGUUGUUAGCCCUGCAGAGUUAUUAGUAUGCCACUUCACAGGGAUAAAGGCUCUGGUGGAUGAAUAUGGUUCCACGGAAAUUGUUAAGCAGGGAACUGAAGUAGUUAGAAGAGCUUUCACCAAAGCAUUUGAGUCAGUACAUGGAGCAUAUAAAGGGAAAAUUGUUGGGCUGGUUAUAUCCACAAAGGAAGCUUCACCAUCCUUAGGAUCCAUAAUUGAUGCACCAUCUUCAUUGCACAUUUCAAGACGGCUAGAAGAAGCAAGCCAAACUAAUGCUACAGCUUCAGUGGUACUUGUUCGGAAGAGUUUGGCAUGGAUUACAGGGUUCAUCCUUCUUGUCUCAACUCUCAUCGGGGUUUGCUUGCUUAUGAACAUGCCACUUACCAGGGACACUCUCCUGUAUUCAAAUGUUAAGAUUGAUUAGUUUGAACUAUGAAGGGAUUACAUGGCAUCUACUGAAUAGUUACAGAUUAUACCCCUACUACUGAAAGGACAAAAUGUCUAAUAUUGAGUUCGAAAGACUCGAGUUAGAUGGGAAAAACUAUCUAACAUGGGCAAUGGACAUGAAGAUAAGUCAAUCAUCCCGCGGACUUAUGACGGCAAUUAAUCCUCCUCAGGAGGGAGAUCCGUUACUUCAAGAUCUAAUCAAGUAUGGAGCUUUAUACUACAUAAGGCACCAUUUACAUUCAGAUUUAAAAUUUGAAUACUUGAUGAAUGAAAAUUCACAUGACAUAUGGAACUCGCUCAAAGAGUGAUAUGAACAGCAAAAGGCAGUAAUACUA